ACGGACUUAAUCGAAAUAUUUAUAUUUUGAAGCGGUUAGUGGCGGACUGGUGAGUAACGCGUAAGGAACCUGCCUAUUAGAGGGGAAUAACAGUGAGAAAUCAUUGCUAAUACCGCAUAUGCCAUAGAUAUCACAUGAUAACAGUGGGAAAGGAGCAAUCCGCUAAUAGAUGGCCUUGCGUCUGAUUAGAUAGUUGGUGGGGUAACGGCCUACCAAGUCGACGAUCAGUAGCCGGACUGAGAGGUUGAACGGCCACAUUGGGACUGAGAUACGGCCCAGACUCCUACGGGAGGCAGCAGUCGGGAAUAUUGCGCAAUGGAGGAAACUCUGACGCAGUGACGCCGCGUAUAGGAAGAAGGUUUUCGGAUUGUAAACUAUUGUCGUUAGGGAAGAGAAAGGACAGUACCUAAGGAGGAAGCUCCGGCUAACUACGUGCCAGCAGCCGCGGUAAUACGUAGGGAGCGAGCGUUAUCCGGAAUUAUUGGGUGUAAAGGGUGCGUAGACGGGAGAACAAGUUAGUUGUGAAAUACCUCGGCUCAACUGAGGAACUGCAACUAAAACUGUACUUCUUGAGUGCAGGAGAGGUAAGUGGAAUUCCUAGUGUAGCGGUGAAAUGCGUAGAUAUUAGGAGGAACACCAGUGGCGAAGGCGACUUACUGGACUGUAACUGACGUUGAGGCACGAAAGUGUGGGGAGCAAACAG
rnacentral:rRNA from 1 species